rnacentral:rRNA from 1 species
ACUCAAAUGAAUUGACGGGGACCCGCACAAGCAGUGGAGCAUGUGGUUUAAUUCGAUGCAACGCGAAGAACCUUACCCAGUCUUGACAUGCAUUGGACAGUUCUAGAGAUAGGAUCUUCCUUCGGGACCAAUGCACAGGUGCUGCAUGGCUGUCGUCAGCUCGUGCCGUGAGGUGUUGGGUUAAGUCCCGCAACGAGCGCAACCCUUAUCAUUAGUUGCCAACACGUGAAGGUGGGAACUCUAAUGAGACUGCCUGGGUUAACCAGGAGGAAGGUGAGGAUGACGUCAAGUCCGCAUGGCCCUUAUGACUGGGGCUACACACGUGCUACAAUGGUCGGUACAGAGGGCAGCGAAGCCGCGAGGUGAAGCAAAUCCCACAAAGCCGAUCUCAGUUCAGAUUGUAGUCUGCAACUCGACUACAUGAAGAUGGAAUUGCUAGUAAUGGCGUGUCAGCAACAACGCCGUGAAUACGUUCCCGGGUCUUGUACACACCGCCCGU